AGUGUUUAUAGUGCUGUGAGUUUAACACUUCAUCACUGACACACACAACAAUCUUCAUCAACAUGACCUUCAUCAUCAUCUUCAUCUGGACUCUCACAGCGUUUGCUCAAGAGUGUAGAGGACAGAUCACCGUCACUCAGAGUCCCUCAAUAACAGCAGAACAACCAGGAGGAACUGUCAAUAUCAAAUGUAAAACCAGCAGAGCUGUGCUCAGAUAUAGAUCUGGGGGUGAAGGUUUAUACUGGUACUUACAGAAACCUGGAGAAGCUCCUAAACUCCUGAUUUAUCGUGUAAAAACCCUCGAGUCAGGAACUCCAUCUAGAUUCAGUGGCAGUGGAUCUAACAGUGAUUUCACUCUGAGCAUCAGUGGAGUCCAGACUGAAGAUGCUGGACAUUAUUACUGUCAGAGUUAUCACAGCGGUUAUGUGUUCACACAGUGAUAAAGAGUCGUACAAAAACCUCCGUCAGUCAGAGUCACAGUGACUGAACUGAAACUGCAGCUGCUCAAACACACACACACACACACACACACACACAACAGUGAAGAAA